rnacentral:rRNA from 1 species
GUCACGGAGAGUUUGAUCCUGGCUCAGGAUGGAACGCUGGCGGUCUGCUUAACACAUGCAAGUCGAACGGUGUCUUCGGACACAGUGGCGGACGGGUGAGUAACGCGUGAGAAUCUACCUUCAGGUCGGGGAUAACCCCUGGAAACGGGGGCUAAUACCGGAUAGGUCGAAA